AUGUUGACGAAAUUUCCUUUGACGUUCAGCAUUUGAUUUUGAUUUUGAUACUGUUUUCAUUAUUUUUAUUUCUUUUUCUUUUUUUAUGAUUUUUAUUUCUUCAUUUUUCUUCAAAUCUUUCUGACGCUGAUAAUAUGCCCUUUGACGUACAUUAUGAUUUUUUUCUCUUUUUAUUCUUUUUACCUCUUUACGCUUUUCUUCUCUAUAAAAUGAAAAUAUCUAGGUAUAAAUAGUGUAAUGACACAGCAAAACAAAAUUACUCAUUUAUAAAAAUAUAACAAUAUUAAGAAGUGAUUAUCGAAUUUCGCGCGAUGUACAUACAUUUAUAUAUACUUUCUUUGCGCGGCAUUCAUGUGCAUUAUCUAUACACCAAAAACAAAGGUACUGAAUAGUACAUGUGCUUGGUUUGAUGGUUUCUGUUAUAUACAUAAUGAAGAAUAAAUUUAUUUAUAAAUAUAUAUAUGUAUAUACAUAUUAGAAUCUAAAUUGAGAAUUUAAACUAUACGCGUGUGUAUGUUUGUGUGUAUAAAAGGGCUACCUUUAAUAUCGCUCAUUUUAAUAUCAAAAAUUUAGGUUAUCUUUAUAAUACUGCAUUUGUGAUAAUAAUAAAAUGUAUGUAUAUAGAGUACUCACUCAUUUUCUUCCACUAUUUCUUCGUUAAUAAUAAAUGCACUUUGUUCAUUCAUAUUCAAUAUUCAAAAAAACACUUUAUACACAAAUUUUAUUCCAGAAAAUGUAAAGUCAUCUACCGUGGUAAAGUAUAGAGAAGGUGCGGGUUCAAUGGCGGACAUUUGUUACGAGGCAUCUCGACAAGAGAGAAUUUAUAGCUGCAUUGCCGUGCAUAUUGCUUGUGGAGACUCCACAUUGCUCAUAGCAGAAAACGAAAGAGGUUAACAAGGAGAAAAAGAAAUCAUUUGGACCAUUGGUAAAAUUCAAAUCUAUAGCGUGCAGCAACCAAAUAAUGGAGUAUGUUUUAAAUUAUUAAAGUUAAAUAGUGUAUAUUUCAUUCAAAUAUUUGUUAUAGAUUGUGCAUUUUAUUUUGAUUU